GACGUAGGGCGCGAGCGUUGUCCGGAUUUAUUGGGCGUAAAGAGCUCGUAGGCGGCUUGUCGCGUCGACUGUGAAAACCCGCGGCUCAACCGUGUGGUCUGCAGUCGAUACAGGCAGGCUAGAGUUCGGUAGGGGAGACUGGAAUUCCUGGUGUAGCGGUGAAAUGCGCAGAUAUCAGGAGGAACACCGGUGGCGAAGGCGGGUCUCUGGACAGUUCCUGACGCUGAGGCGCGAAGGCCAGGGGAGCAAACGGG
rnacentral:rRNA from 1 species